AAUAUCUCUCUUUCGUAUCUUCAGAAGAGAGAAAGACAACCUGCAUUUCGAUCAGAAUAGCGACAACUGAUAUCGUAUCGAUCAAAAUCAAUUAAAUCCAACAGUUUUCAUCGAUCGACAACGUUAUUAGGGUUUUUUUCCCGAUUUCAAUUGAACAAAUUAUCGUUACAUGAAGUUUCAGAUUACCGAUCACAUCUGUCUUUGGUUUCAAUUCACAGGAUUAAACAAUUCUCCCCAAAUCAAAGUUCUUCAGGAAGUUGUUUUGUGCAAUUUAGGGAUCGAUACGAUAUCAGUUGUCGCUAUUCUGAUCGAAACGCAGGUUGUCUUUCUCUCUUCUGAAGAUACGAAAGAGAGAUACUCUAAAGAUGCGAAAAGAAAGAGAGAAAAGGUAAAAAAAAAA